UUUGUAAUUUUUAGAUGGCGUUUGUCGUGUGCCCCGAAGGACUGCUUCGAUAACGAGAGCGCUGCUGGCUCUAACCAUCUCACGAACGGAGGAUUUAUUAACGCGGUUUUUAGACGGCGUUUGUUGUAUAUUAUGUUUCAAUAACGGCUCGGCCUGUAGGCCAAUUGGUUCUAAUGGAUAACGGAUUUAUUACGCGGACGGUAUCUUUGGUGCCACGAUAACGAGUAAGCUAGAGAUUGAUGAUGGCAGUCAUCGCUAUUGGAUUUAUUGCAGAGGUAAUUCGUUUUCAUUUGUUAAAAAAAAUUUAUU